rnacentral:tRNA from 1 species
GCCUCAUUGGCUCAGGGGCAGAGCGUCUGUCUAGUAAACAGAAGGUCGCUGGUUCG